CAGCAGCCACGGUAAUACGAAGGGGGCUAGCGUUGUUCGGAAUUACUGGGCGUAAAGCGCACGUAGGCGGAUAUUUAAGUCAGGGGUGAAAUCCCAGAGCUCAACUCUGGAACUGCCUUUGAUACUGGGUAUCUUGAGUAUGGAAGAGGUUAGUGGAAUUGCGAGUGUAGAGGUGAAAUUCGUAGAUAUUCGCAGGAACACCAGUGGCGAAGGCGGCUAACUGGUCCAUAACUGACGCUGAGGUGCGAAAGCGUGGGGAGCAAACAGGAUUAGAUACCCCUGUGUCCCUGUCUCUUAUACA
rnacentral:rRNA from 1 species